CAUCAAGCCCCGUCUCCCUCUCACAGCUUCUGAGGUCAGCUCUCCGUGAGGAAGACUGUCCAGAGGAAGGCAAGUCCUCCGCCACAGAUCCCUGCAGAAGCAGGUGCCCGUGUUGUUUUCCAAGUUCAAGGUCUUUCUGUGGCUGCAGCCAAGAAGAGGUUCUAGGGAAUCUGAUAAGAAACGGCACUAAUUAACACUAAUUUGCUGACACAGCUGCUUGAGCUUCUGCUCACACCUCAGCAGGCCCAUGUGAGGAACAGCAGCCAGAGAGACAGCCCCCACACAAAGCGUAAAGAGUGCAGCUUCCCGAGAGAAGAGGGACCAGCAAGAGGGGCCGAGGCUGUCUGCACUGAACUCUGCAUUCCCUUCCCAGUAAGAAGUCAUGCAAAAUCCAAGCUUGCGUCUCACAAU
rnacentral:lncRNA from 1 species